CUUAUUAGAAUAAAUGAACUUUAAAAAACUAGGUGUAAUAAUUUGUCACAGUUGAAAUGUCGUACAAAAUUGGACAGCGUGUCGAAGUUUCUAAUAAGGACUGUCAAGGAGUAAUUGCUUAUAUUGGUUAUCCGACUUUUGCUUCAGGAAAAUGGAUUGGAGUUAUACUUGACGAACCAAAAGGAAAAAACAAUGGAACUAUUAAGGGUCAAUCGUAUUUUAAAUGUGCUGAAAAUCAUGGAAUGUUUGUGCGACAGUCACAACUUAUUUUACUGGAUGAAACAGGUAAUAGGAUUGAACCUGCUAGUCCAUCCUCAGCAGGUAGUAGUGCUACUACACCAGAUGAAAGUAGUGCAGCACGUGCUAGAAGUCGAUUGAAUAGCAUAAGUACACGUCGAAGGAAUGAACCUACUGCAGUACGGAGAAAAACAUCUCCUGCCCAUACCAGGCAACAAUCUGACAAGCUAUCUGGUUCAAGAUUAUCAUUGGCGGGUAGUAGAACACUUUUAAGUGCUCCAAGUACAGAGAGUUUAUCUGGAUCACAACAUGAACGUAAAGAUGGAGGAGAAUCACUUAUACCAGCCCCAACAUCCACUAAGCGAGCUUCAUUUAUUGAGAAGUCCCCUAGCACGAGCUCGCCUCCCGGCAAAAAGCCAAAGGCCCAAGAUGAUCACAAUAAUACAGGUUUUGUAGAGACUCUGAAACCACAGUUUGUACCUGGCCAAGUAAUGGCAGGAUCUGCUGCAGCUGCAAAUGUAGUAGAAGAGAAAUUGUCACAAUUACAACUUCAACAAGAAAAUGAGAAUUUAAAAUCUCAGGUUCGGGACCUUACAGAAAAAGUAGAAACAUUACGAGUGAAAAGAAUGCAAGAUAAGGAAAGAAUGAAAGACUUUGAGAAAACAAAACUUCAACUUGAACAACUUAUUGAAUUCAAAACAAAAGUUAUGGAAAGCCAAGCUAGUCUGCAAAGAGAACUGCAACGCGCACGUCAAGAAGCAAGAGAAGCACACGCAGCUCGAGAACAGUUUCAAGAAGAAAUGACAGAUCUUGCAGAAACUGUAGAAAUGGCAGCAUUAGAUAAAGAAAUGGCUGAAGAGAAAGCUGAAACAUUACAAAUCGAAUUAGAACAAUUGAAAGAAAAAUUGGAAGAGCAAACACUAGAUCUAGAAAUAUUACGAACAGAAGUAUCUGAAAGGACAGUAGGAGGGGGAUCAACUGCUGGUGCUUCAAAUUAUGAAAUAAAACAAUUGGAACAACAAAAUAAUCGGUUACGAGAAACUCUAGUUAGAAUGCGGGAUCUUUCUGCACACGAGAAGCACGAAUUUCAAAAGCUUCAAAAGGAUUUAGAUCAAAAGAAGUCAGAAAUAUUAGAGUUGGGUCGUACGAAGGAAAAAUUAUCCACACGGGUAGAAGAAAUGGAACAUCAAAUAGCAGAUUUGCAGGAGCAAGUUGAUGCUGCGUUAGGUGCUGAAGAAAUGGUUGAAGUACUUGGCGAGAAGAAGAUGGCAUUAGAAGAGAAAGUUGCAGAAUUGGAAGAGGCUGUUGCAGACUUAGAAGCUUUACAAGACAUGUCUGAUCAACUUGCUGAAUCAUCGAAAGAAUUAGAAUUAGAAUUGCGGGAAGAAUUAGAUUUAGCGCUUGGAGCAGCACGUGAUGCUUACCAACAUCGAGAUGCAGCUUUAGAGACAUUAGCAGAUCGUGAACUUACAAUUACGAAGUUUCGUGAACUCACUCAUCAAUUACAGGAGCAGUGUUUGCAAUUACAGCAACGUGUACAAUCAACUGAAACUUCUAAAUUUGGUAUAGCAGGCACAGAGCAACAAUUAGCGGAGAUUUUAGAUUUCCAAAAAACUUUUGCUGAAACCCGUGCACAAACAAAAGCUGUUGAUCUUGAAUUACGAAGAUUAGAAGCUGAAGAAGCUCGAAAUCAUGUGAAAUAUUUAUUAUCUUUUAUGCCUCCUGCAUUUUUAGCACGUGGUGGAGAUCAUGAUGCUAUUCUAACACUUCUUCUUAUACCAAGGAUGAUGCAAAAAACAGAAAUACUUAUAUCACAAGUACGAGAAAAAUAUAGAUCAUUAGAUAAAGUGGACAGACUAGCUAUUUUAAAGGGUCACUCAGUAGCACAAUAUACCUUCAGAUCGCGUCUUUGUUCAUACAUGUAUGCAUUGCAAACGUUCCUCGGUUGUUUUGAAUCUGCAUUGAAUGUAUGUUCUCCUGAAAUGUUACUCAAAGCUGGAGCAGUUUAUCCAGAAAUGGCUGCACAAGAAAAAUCUUUAGAUUGUUUGAUAGAUUUGGCUAAAAAAGAUCAAUUAGACGAGAAUCUACCAAUGGAUGCUAUUGAGAAAUGUUGUGGAUACUUUUGUACUAUGUUUUCUGUAUUAUUUGGGGAAACUAUUAAUCACGCCCGCUUGAUAGUUAAUGGCACGAGAAUGUUAGAAAGCUCUUGUGAUGCUAUUACAACGGAUGCCGCGGCAAUUAAAACUUUAAUUCAGGGAGACAGUGGUGAUAUAGGUCUUCUGUGUCAACAUGCGGAAACAACAUGUGAAGUAAUUCAGCAACACUUAAAGUCGGCCAGAAGACGUGUAUUGACAGAUCAUGCAACCGCAAUUCAUGUCGCAGAAUCUAACUUAGGACUGGAUAAAGACUGUAGCGAACAACUUUUUGCAUGUUACAAACAUGCUAUGAAAAUGAUGAAAACUUUGCAAACUGUGCUGAAAAAUGCUGUGCAAGCAAUUAUCGCCAAUGGUGAUGUAGAUACAGGACUUAGUGCAGAUAAAUUGAAAGAAAUGACUUCUAUAUCAUGUGAGAAGAUUUACGAUACUGAAGAUGUCGGACCUGUAGCUACGAUUAAAGGAAGUUUGUCAAGAAUUCAGCAGUUAGCAGCUAGUUUAGCACAAAAAAUGGCAGAAUGUGAAAAUGAGCUACAAAUAAGUGGACAGUUAUUACACCAACGAGGACAAAGUACGGAAAAUGAGUCUUUACAGCCUAUUAAAGUAAGAGCACAAGCAGCAAAGAAAGAAGCUGAAGAAAUUAAAAUACUCAGUAGAAAAUUAGAAGCUAGAGAUAGCGAUAUACUCGAAGCAAGAUUAGCUCUUCGAGAAAAACAAGAAGAAUUAAGUGAAAUGAUUUUGAGGAAGGAUGUUGUGGAGAAAAAGCUUGCAACUCAACAACACGAACAUGAAUUAAAUGUAGAAAAACUGAAAAGAAAAUUAGAAGUAGCAUUGAAUCAAUUAAAACGAAAGGAAAAAGAAUUUGAGGAAACGUUGGAUCAUCUUCAAACAGAUAUUGAUAGUUUGGAAAUUGAAAAGGGUCAGUUAAAAGAAAAAUUAAAAUCUGUUGGAAAGAAGACGAUGAUGUCUGCGUCUGGAGCCGAUAAUAUAUCUGGUAGUGUUACAACAUCUAAAAUUCAGACAAUGGACAAUCAAUUUUUGAUACAAGAAAUAACGGCUCUAAAGGAAGCAUUGAAUAAUGAAAACCAACAGAAAAAGAAAUUAAUGUCCGAUAUAUUACGUCAGAAGUUAGAAAGUUUGGAUCCAAUAAUUCCACAAUUAAAACAGGGAAAAAUUAAUAUGAAAAUAGAGGAGUUAAAACAAAAAACUGAUGAUCUUACUAAAGACAUUAAACAAGUCAUGACAUUCCCUAUCGUUCCUGAUUUAAGGCGUAAUAAGGCACGCGAUUUGGAAGGUCCACCGUUAGACAAAGCAAUGCCAGCUUACCAACUGUUACAACGACAGAUAGUUAUGAAUGUAUUAAAAGAGCGUGCUGAUCAAUUAAUUAAUGAAGUUCUUGAAGAAGUUAUACAGAAAACAGUAGGUGGAAUGGCUGAAGCCAAUUUCGCAGUAUUCCCAAAUCGUGAAAUGGCUGCAGCAAUGCAGAAAAGUCAAUUGCUUGCUGCAGAAAUCGCAAUUCCUCAUGAAGGUCAAGAACAAGUUUUUACUGUAAAUGUAGGAACACAGGAACUUAGGAAAAUUCAUACUUUGCUGUGCUACUAAUUUUCAUUUGCUAAUCUUUAGUACUAUAUAUCAACGUGGCAGAAUAUGCUACCACAAAAGCAGUGGAACAGAUUAAAUCUAAUGAUAACAUAAUUUUGGAGCGUGCGACUUUUAUUUAUUUUUGAAUUGACUACAGCACGAUGACUGGUGCAUUGUAGCUGGUAGUCUGCAGCAUUUUGUUAUCUUAUAAACUCAAAUAUUAUUACUAUUAACAAUUUGAACGAUAAAAUUAUGUGCCUCUAUGGCUUCUGUAUAAUAUCUUUUAAGAAUCGUCAAAUAUAUGACUUAAAAAUAUUUACAUAAAUAUUCUUUACAUAUCCCAUGUGUCAAGAAUAUCGCAACACAGUGUCGGGAGCAAGUAUAUCUUAUAUAAUAGGGAAAUAGAGACUAUAAUACAAUGUUUCACUUUUUAUUUAUAGCGAUAAAAAGAGCAAUAAAUUGUUGAUGAUUUUUCAUUAUUUAUGAAAUAACGUAUGUCGCAAUUACUGUCAAUUUUAUUAUACAUACACACGUGUGUGUAUGUAUACAUAUGUAUAUAAAGCAUUAUCUGUAUACAGAAUGUCUUAUGAGGUACUUAAUGAACUUCCUUCAUAUGUUCAC
rnacentral:misc_RNA from 1 species